CCUGAACGCUGGCGGCGUGGUUAAGACAUGCAAGUCGAACGGAUGUAGCAAUACAUCAGUGGCGGACGGGUGAGUAAUGUAUCGCUAAUGUACCCCGGAGACAGGGAGUAGCUGCCCGGAAACGGGACGAGGUAAUACCCACGAUGAUAUAACCUUACUCGCAUGAUGAGGUUCUCAAAUAGUAGCAAUAUGCUCUGGGAGCAGGCGAUAUCGUACAGCUUGUUGGUGAGGUAACGGCUCACCAAGGCGACGACGCGUAGCUGGUC
rnacentral:rRNA from 1 species